rnacentral:lncRNA from 1 species
ACUUUCUACCCCCACAUACACACUAGGCAUGUUUGUGUUCUUACGAAGUAGAUCUUAGAUCACAGGCCUAGAUGUCAAAGUCAUUUUCACUGACAGCAGGAGCCGCAGAAGGCUACAGGAAACUCCGUGGCUGGAAAUGGAGUCAGUGAGCUUUGAGGAUGUGGCUGUGAAGUUCACGCAGGAGGAGUGGGCUGUGCUGGAUCCAUCCCAGAAGGAGCUGUACAAAGAUGUGAUGCAGGAAACCCUGAGGAACCUGGCCUCUAUAGGAAAGAAGUCCAACACAGGGAAGGCUAUAAAUGAGUAUGAAAA